rnacentral:rRNA from 1 species
UACAGAGGGCUCAAGCGUUGUUCGGAUUCAUUGGGCGUAAAGGGUGCGUAGGUGGCGCCGUAAGUCAGGUGUGAAAUCUCGGGGCUCAACCCCGAAACUGCACUUGAUACUGCGGUGCUCGAGUACUGGAGAGGAGAUUGGAAUUUACGGUGUAGCAGUGAAAUGCGUAGAUAUCGUAAGGAAGACCAGUGGCGAAGGCGAAUCUCUGGACAGUUACUGACACUGAGGCACGAAGGCCAGGGGAGCAAACGGG